rnacentral:rRNA from 1 species
UGGGGAAUAUUGCACAAUGGGCGCAAGCCUGAUGCAGCCAUGCCGCGUGUGUGAAGAAGGCCUUCGGGUUGUAAAGCACUUUCAGCGAGGAGGAAGGGUGGUGUGUUAAUAGCACAUUGCAUUGACGUUACUCGCAGAAGAAGCACCGGCUAACCCCGUGCCAGCAGCCGCGGUAAUACGGAGGGUGCAAGCGUUAAUCGGAAUUACUGGGCGUAAAGCGCACGCAGGCGGUUUGUUAAGUCAGAUGUGAAAUCCCCGCGCUUAACGUGGGAACUGCAUUUGAAACUGGCAAGCUAGAGUCUUGUAGAGGGGGGUAGAAUUCCAGGUGUAGCGGUGAAAUGCGUAGAGAUCUGGAGGAAUACCGGUGGCGAAGGCGGCCCCCUGGACAAAGACUGACGCUCAGGUGCGAAAGCGUGGGGAGCAAACA